CUGCUUGUGACUGAAGGAGUGGCUGUAACACAGCUGUCUGCAGCACCCAGGGAGCUGCUAACUACCUUUAAUUACUGGCAGCAGGGGCGAGCUGCUCAUGAACUGACCUAAAGUAAACAGCUUUGCCGAGACAAACUGCUACAGGAUAGGAAACAGUUAAAAUCAGUUCAGAAGUGUUAGAAUUGGGAGUUUCACGUUGCUUUCUUUCCAGUCGAAUCAGAAAUUGACUUACAGUCUCAGCAAUUUGUUCAGGAUUGAGUUUUGAGAACUCAUUUUGAUCAAAGAACAGGACGUAGCUUCUGCUAUCAAAACUCAACAGAGCUACAGUUUUAAAAAGAAGUCAUUUCUUUUGUGAGGAAGAACCAACAAAAAGGCUUUUUCUGUAAAACAACCUAUGAAACAUUAUAUUUCUCUAAAAGCUGGAGGAGUGACCACACAUCUCUGCGUAAUUUGUCAGGGAAAUAGGGGAG